GUGUGCGGCCGUGACUGCUUCCUCUUCCGCAGCCCUGCUAACGCCAGGGGGAGGGUUAAAGCGGUCGCUUUGGGCGGGCGGCGAGGGCAGGGCCGAGGCUGUACUAAGCUUCCGUGAGCUUACCAGCCCGUCCCGUCCUCGGCGUUUGUCCGGCCUUGUUCGAUCACUUUGGUGUUACUCAUUCUGGCCUUUGCCGCGGAGGAAGCCUCACAGGCUCUCUGCUGAGCCAGCUUGUUGCUAGGCUGCAGGAAAAGAGUGAGCGCCCGAGCACCUGGGUCGUCCAGGAGACAGACUAGUGUGUCUUUCCUCAAGUGUGCAUAACAAGGAACCUCAGGAGUUGGCAUUCAGUAGAUGUCUAUAUUGAAGGUAUUUUUGUAUAAUUUUCUCCCGGAUGUUGAAUAAUUUAUUAAAAAGGAUGCUGCCAAAAAUAAGGGAUUCCUG